CUAUUUGUUUUUUCCUCCUCCUCCUCCUCUCCUCUCCACCACCUAAUCACCAUGACUGUCGCCACUCCCUAACCUGUAAAACUGACCACCACCAAAGCACGCAACGUGAAAUUUUUUAUUUUAUUCCCUGACUUGAAAUUUUCACUCCCUCUCCCUAUACAAAUUCAUGCCAAGAAAGAUCUGAAGAAAGGCAAUGAACACAAGCACUGUAUCAAGGAAUCCUUGUUGUUAAACCCUUCAGCGAUCAACCCUAACAUCAAAAAAACACAACAACGACAAGGAGAAAUUAAUCAUGAAUCAUUAUCUAUGCCAUCAACUUCUCCACAAUAACAGUAUAUCAAGAAACCCGAGCACAAACUCUCAAAACCUCAAGUGGGUUCCUUGAAUUCUCCAUAAUAUGACCACCAUCUUCAAGUACUGAAGUGGGUUCUUCGAGUUUUUCUUGAAUCAGUAGACCGGCUGUGACAGUCCCAGUCCUCAGCCAUCUGCAAUCCAGUACACUAUUUUGCCUUUUCUGUUGUUUUCUUCCGCGGCCGUCUGACUUCGGGGAUUGACAGGACCUUUUUUUAUUUCUCAAUUUUUUCAUACCUUUUCUUUUCUUUCCUCUAGAAGUAAUUAGGAAUAACAUUCUGAUUGUAAUUCCAAUCUAAUCGUGUAUUGGUAUUU